rnacentral:rRNA from 1 species
GAACAGGGCGGUACCUUGACGGUACCUAACCAGAAAGCCACGGCUAACUACGUGCCAGCAGCCGCGGUAAUACGUAGGUGGCAAGCGUUGUCCGGAAUUAUUGGGCGUAAAGCGCGCGCAGGCGGUUUCUUAAGUCUGAUGUGAAAGCCCCCGGCUCAACCGGGGAGGGUCAUUGGAAACUGGGGAACUUGAGUGCAGAAGAGGAGAGUGGAAUUCCACGUGUAGCGGUGAAAUGCGUAGAGAUGUGGAGGAACAC